AACGAACGCUGGCGGCAUGCCUAACACAUGCAAGUCGAACGAGACCUUCGGGUCUAGUGGCGCACGGGUGCGUAACGCGUGGGAACCUGCCCUUAGGUUCGGAAUAACUCCCCGAAAGGGGUGCUAAUAUCGGAUAAUGUCUUCGGACCAAAGAUUUAUCGCCUUUGGAUGGGCCCGCGUUGGAUUAGCUAGUUGGUAGGGUAAAAGCCUACCAAGGCGACGAUCCAUAGCUGGUCUGAGAGGAUGAUCAGCCACACUGGGACUGAGACACGGCCCAGACUCCUACGGGAGGCAGCAGUGGGGAAUAUUGGACAAUGGGCGAGAGCCUGAUCCAGCAAUGCCGCGUGAGUGAUGAAGGCCUUAGGGUUGUAAAGCUCUUUUACCCGGGAUGAUAAUGACAGUACCGGGAGAAUAAGCACCGGCUAACUCCGUG
rnacentral:rRNA from 1 species